GACGAACGCUGGCGGCGUGCUUAACACAUGCAAGUCGAACGGAAAGGCCCUGCUUUUGUGGGGUGCUCGAGUGGCGAACGGGUGAGUAACACGUGAGUAACCUGCCCUUGACUUUGGGAUAACUUCAGGAAACUGGGGCUAAUACCGGAUAGGAGCUCCUGCUGCAUGGUGGGGGUUGGAAAGUUUCGGCGGUUGGGGAUGGACUCGCGGCUUAUCAGCUUGUUGGUGGGGUAGUGGCUUACCAAGGCUUUGACGGGUAGCCGGCCUGGGAGGUGGACCGGCCAAAUGGGGACUGAGGUACGGCCCAGACUCCUACGGGAGGCAGCAGUGGGGAAUAUUGCACAAUGGGCGGAACCCUGAUGCAGCAACGCCGCGUGCGGGAUGACGGCCUUCGGGUUGUAAACCGCUUUCGCCUGUGACGAAGCGUGAGUGACGGUAAUGGGUAAAGAAGCACCGGCUAACUACGUG
rnacentral:rRNA from 1 species